rnacentral:lncRNA from 1 species
GUCUCUCGCAGAAUCCAUUUCCUUUCAAUUCUCCUUUUUCUCCCGUGUUCGUUAUUGUGACCAAAUUUAUCAAAGAUUGGUUUCCACUCCCUAGACCCAUGCCUCCCCAAGAAACCGCCCCAAAUUUCUGCUACGUGGGACCUCUGAGACCACGGCUUCCCUGAGGGCAGGAGCCACCGUGGCUUCUUUGUCACCAUGUCCCCAACACCAGGCCCAGAAAUCCAU